UGGGGCAUCGUCUAAUGGUAGGACUUCAGAUUCUGAUUCUGACUAUAUUGGUUCGAAUCCAGUUGCCCCAACCA
rnacentral:tRNA from 1 species